UACAGAGGUGGCAAGCGUUGUUCGGAAUUACUGGGCGUAAAGGGCGCGUAGGCGGUCCGAUAAGUCCCGUGUGAAAGCUCCCGGCUCAACUGGGAGAGGUCCUUGCAUACUGGCAAACUCGAGGGAGGCAGAGGAAAGUGGAAUUCCCGGUGUAGUGGUGAUAUGCGUAGAUAUCGGGAGGAACACCUGUGGCGAAGGCGGCUUUCUGGGCCUUACCUGACGCUGAGACGCGAAAGCGUGGGGAGCGAACCGG
rnacentral:rRNA from 1 species